CUACGGGCGGCACCAGUGAGGAAUUUUGCGCAAUGGGGGCAACCCUGACGCAGCAACGCCGCGUGAGUGAAGAAGGCCUUUGGGUCGUAAAGCUCUGUCAACAGGGAAGAAGUUAUCUAUGGUUAACAGCUGUGGAUAUUGACGGUACCUGUGGAGGAAGCAUCGGCUAACUCCGUGCCAGCAGCCGCGGUAAUACGGGGGAUGCAAGCGUUAUUCGGAAUCAUUGGGCGUAAAGGGCACGCAGGCGGCUCUGUCAGUCAGAUGUGAAAGCCCGGGGCUCAACCCCGGACGUGCAUUUGAAACAGCAGAGCUUGAGUACGGUAGAGGAAAGCGGAAUUCCUGGUGUAGAGGUGAAAUUCGUAGAUAUCAGGAGGAACACCGGUGGCGAAGGCGGCUUUCUGGACCGAAACUGACGCUGAGGUGCGAAGGCGUGGGUAGCGAACAGGAUUAGAUACCCUGGUAGUC
rnacentral:rRNA from 1 species